rnacentral:rRNA from 1 species
GGCCGCGGGAAUUCGAUUCAGGCCUAACACAUGCAAGUCGAACGGGACUAUCAAGUGAUGUUUUCGGACUGAACUUUUUAGUUUAGUGGCGGACGGGUGAGUAACGCGUGGACAACCUGCCUCUCACUGGGGGAUAGCAGCUGGAAACGGCUGGUAAUACCGCAUGCGUUCAAUGUGCCGCAUGACACAUUGAAGAAAGAUUUAUCGGUGAGAGAUGGGUCCGCGUCUGAUUAGCCAGUUGGCGGGGUAACGGCCCACCAAAGCGACGAUCAGUAGCCGGCCUGAGAGGGCGGACGGCCACAUUGGGACUGAGACACGGCCCAGACUCCUACGGGAGGCAGCAGUGGGGGAUAUUGCACAAUGGGCG